CAGAGGCUCGAAGACGAUCAGAUACCGUCCUAGUUCUGACCAUAAACGAUGCCAACUGACGAUCCGUGGUGGUAGUUUAAUAACCGUCCCCACGGGCAGCCCCCGGGAAACCUUUAAGUCUAUGGGUUCCGGGGGAAGUAUGGUUGCAAAGCUGAAACUUAAAGGAAUUGACGGAAGGGCACCACCAGGAGUGGAGCCUGCGGCUUAAUUUGACUCAACACGGGAAAACUCACCCGGGCCGGACACUGUGAGGAUUGACAGAUUGAAAGCUCUUUCUUGAUUUGGUGGUUGGUGGUGCAUGGCCGUUCUUAGUUGGUGGAGCGAUUUGUCUGGUUAAUUCCGAUAACGAACGAGACUCUAGCCUGCUAAUUAGUGCGCCUGUCCUCUGUUCCUGUGUGGCGGCUUUUGGCGCUACUGCCUUUGUAUACGAGGCUGUUCGUGCUUUUACCUGGUGCUGGUCAUCCGUUAGAUUUGCUUAGUAGUUGACAUUGCUUGGUGCUUCGGCGCCGACGUGUUGACGACGGCGGGUCUACACUGGGUGGCUGACUCGGGUGAUAAGUUACGGCAGUUAAGUUUAGGCGGUGGAGUCGGGGUUUGCUUCCGGGUACGGCGCAGGUGUCUACUUCUUAGAGGGACUAGCAUAUACAAAUGCACGAGAUUGAGCAAUAACAGGUCUGUGAUGCCCUUAGAUGUCCGGGGCCGCACGCGCGCUACAAUGACGGUGCCAACGAGUCUGACCUCCUGGCCCGAAAGGGUUGGGCAAACUGGUCAAUCACCGUCAUGUCAGGGAUCGGGGCUUGGAAUUGUUCCCCGUGAACCAGGAAUUCCUAGUAAGUGCAAGUCAUAAGCUUGCGCUGAUUACGUCCCUGCCCUUGCGAAUGGCCUCAUUAAAUCAGCUAUGGUUUGAAUGGUUUAGUAAGGUCCUUGGAUCGGUGCCAUUGUAGAGGCUACUGCAAAGUAUGUCCUCUCGACGGGCGCUGAGAAGACGACCAAAUCUUUCC
rnacentral:rRNA from 1 species